GGGUGAUAGUGUCGGUCCUGGAGCUCUAUUCCUUCAAGUCUGCCUCUAAAGCCAUUUCCUCCAUAGAAUCUUUCCUGGUACGUUUAAUCUCCCAGGGAGCCACUUACUCUCUUUGACCUUCCCAAUCCAAGUUGCGGAGAACUUACCUAUUCAGUGGACAAGCCUGACUUUUUCAGAACGAGAUGGAGAAGCAGAUUGAGAAUCCUCAGGGAAGAGCCCUGCCCGUCACCAUGGACUCUAGACCCGAGUCCACAGGGUGACAAGGCUCAGCCACUGCACCACUGGGGUCAGCCCCAGCUCGCCCUCCGCCACCUGUGAAAAAGGGAUUCAAGUAGCGUGCUUGGUGCUCCCCACUUCCCUCCUGCACCUGUGUGGUGGAGGCCGGGCAGCCAGAGACACUUGGGAACCUGCCUUGAAGAACAGUCAGGAGUCAGAGAGAUGAGCAGAGGACCCUGAGCCUGGGUGGCCUUUCCUUGGGACCAAAGGGGGAAAGGUCACCUUUGGGAUCAACCCCAGGACACCAUCUUGAGCAGCACUGACAGCAACUCUUUUGAAAGCUCACACCUGCAGUGCUGGCCCUGUCCCUCCUCAUUUGUUCAUUCAUUCAACACACAGUCUUGGGGUUCCUUCUGUGGGUUGAGCUCCUCUCUGGUAGAGAAGAUUGACAUUCUCUGCCAUGGGGAGAGUGUGGUAAGUAAAAUAGAAAUGGCUAACAUUGAUUGAGGGCUUACUAGGUGCCAGGCACUAUUCUAAGCCUGUAUGAAAUCAUUUAAUCCUCUCAAAAGCGCUAUGCAGGAGGGGAUUGUCAUUAUCUCCUUAUUAUACAUGGGAACACACGGGCUCAACGAGAAGAGGGAACUUGUCUGAGGUCACCCAGCUGGGAAGGGGCAGAGCCGGCCCAUGAAUACAGGCCUGUCUGACCUCAGAAGCCAAAGUCCUAACCACAGCCUGAACUUGGGUGUUCAAAGGAGAGAGACUCUCCUCACUGGGAGGAUCAGGGAAGACUUCUUGGAGGAGGUGGCACUGGAGCUGGCAUUGAGGUGGGUAGGAUUUGGGUGUGGGGCUGGUGGGGAGGGUAUUCCAGACUUAGAGGAUGUCAGGACCAAAGGCAGGAGUCUCGGAAGCACAGGCUGGAUUAGGGGAAGUUUCCAGGGUUGGUGUGGAAGGGAGUUGCGGGAAGUAGGGAGACUGAAAAAUCCUGAGAUAUUUGUCUUGGAAUUUUCUCUUUGGAAUCUGUGGCCCCAGGCCUGAUGUCUGCGCUGGCUGUCCACAAAGCUGAGUGAGAAAUUCCAGGCUGAUGUGAGUGAAAGAGAGGCUCCAGCUGGCCCUGACCUUGCCCUGGCCUGCGCACCCCAGUGGCGUCGGACGCCUUUCCCAGGGCUCAGGCCUGGUGUGGGUGGCAGGGAUUCCCCUGAAUGGAGCCUGGGCUUGCUCCCCCGCUGAGAUUCCAGAUCCUGCCUGUGACUUUUCCAUGGGCCAUCACACCCCGGUGCUGCAGGAAGGAGGACAGAGGGAAUUGGUUUCCUCUGAGCAUGCGGCUUCUCCUUACCGGCCUGGACCCACUGCCCCCUUUGGGAUGAAGUGGGGAAAUCUUACCUUUGGGAACCUGCGAGAGCAAACUUUGGCGAUUUAGCAGCUGACACCCCAAAAGAAUGAACCUUAGGCGUCCAACCUCGCUCCCUGGCGCCUACAUCAGUACUCAAUAAAUCCUUGUGAAUGACGGAA
ensembl:lncRNA